GUUCACACAGUGACGGUAGCUAACCAGAAAGUCACGGCUAACUACGUGCCAGCAGCCGCGGUAAUACGUAGGUGGCAAGCGUUAUCCGGAUUUAUUGGGCGUAAAGCGAGCGCAGGCGGUUUGAUAAGUCUGAUGUGAAAGCCUUUGGCUUAACCAAAGAAGUGCAUCGGAAACUGUCAGACUUGAGUGCAGAAGAGGACAGUGGAACUCCAUGUGUAGCGGUGGAAUGCGUUGAUAUAUGGAAGAACACCAGUGGCGAAGGCGGCUGUCUGGUCUGCAACUGACGCUGGGGCUCGAAAGCAUGGGUAGCGAACAGGAUUAGAUACCCUGGUAGUCCAUGCCGUAAACGAUGAGUGCUAGGUGUUGGAGGGUUUCCGCCCUUCAGUGCCGCAGCUAACGCAUUAAGCACUCCGCCUGGGGAGUACGACCGCAAGGUUGAAACUCAAAGGAAUUGACGGGGGCCCGCACAAGCGGUGGAGCAUGUGGUUUAAUUCGAAGCUACGCGAAGAACCUUACCAGGUCUUGACAUCUUGCGCCAACCCUAGAGAUAGGGCGUUUCCUUCGGGAACGCAAUGACAGGUGGUGCAUGGUCGUCGUCAGCUCGUGUCGUGAGAUGUUGGGUUAAGUCCCGCAACGAGCGCAACCCUUGUUACUAGUUGCCAGCAUUCAGUUGGGCACUCUAGUGAGACUGCCGGUGACAAACCGGAGGAAGGUGGGGACGACGUCAGAUCAUCAUGCCCCUUAUGACCUGGGCUACACACGUGCUACAAUGGACGGUGCAACGAGUCGCGAACUCGCGAGGGCAAGCUAAUCUCUUAAAACCGUUCUCAGUUCGGACUGCAGGCUGCAACUCGCCUGCACGAAGUCGGAAUCGCUAGUAAUCGCGGAUCAGCAUGCCGCGGUGAAUACGUUCCCGGGCCUUGUACACACCGCCCGUCACACCAUGAGAGUUUGCAACACCCAAAGUCGGUGGGGUAACCCUUCGGGGAGCUAGCCGCCUAAGGUGGGGCAGAUGAUUAGGGUGAAGUCGUAACAAGGUAACC
rnacentral:rRNA from 1 species